CACAUUUGUCAGACACACGCACGCACACUCUCUCUCUCUCUCUCUGUAGAGAGAUUUCUUUAGUUUACAGAUCGGGCAAAGGAAGAAAAAGAGAACCUCUCUAUUAUUGCUACUGUUUCUUCAUUUUCUCCAAUUUAUUGAAAUUUGAUUCCUCUGCUACACCUCUUCACAUACACAUAUGUAUAUAUGUGUAUCUGCAGAGGCAUGUGUGUACGUUAUAUGUGCAACUGCAACGUGAGAAAAGGCCAAGUGGGAGAGAUUAAGGAGCAGCGAAUCUUUGUUCAUGCUUGCUAAGGCUUACCAAAUCUUUAAAGCGCAAUCCGGCUUACGUUAGCUCCCACAAGAUUUUGUUAUCAUCCUCCUCCUCCUACUACUCUUCUUUACUCAACUCCGCCGCCUCCCAAUUCUCUCCGCCGGUGUGCGCAUUUUUUCUUAUCCUUCACUGCCUUUUCUCUCUUAUAAAACGCUAAUUGAUUAAGCAGCAGAAGAAAAACAAAGACGCAUUAAAAAUGGCAAUUAAUAAGCUUCUUUUGACAUUUGCUAUCUGUCGGUUGAUUGUAACAGUAGGGUUGACCGUGGACCCUGCGGAGCUUCUCCGGCUUGGAGUCGACGGUCAACUCAGUGUUGACCCGUCAGACGUGGAAAUCGCGUCUCUUGAUUUCGGCUUGCUUAGCAGAGCCGAGCCGAUGGCCGUAUUGCGUCCGGCUUCUGCAGAAGACAUAGCCCGGCUUGUUCGCGCCGCUUAUAAUUCUGCUGGUGGGUUUACGGUGUCUGCUAGAGGUCAUGGGCAUUCCAUAAAUGGGCAGGCACAGACGAGUAGUGGAGUAGUGAUUGAGAUGAGCCGCCGCUCUGGAGGAGGUCAGCUCGGCGGCUUGGGGAAUCCCAAUCCCCCUCAGGUUUCAGUGAAGGAGAUGCAUGCGGACGUGUGGGGAGGUGAGCUCUGGAUAGAUGUAUUGAGGAGUACACUAGAGUAUGGACUAGCACCAAAAUCAUGGACAGAUUACUUGUACCUCUCAGUGGGUGGUACCUUAUCAAAUGCAGGGAUAAGUGGGCAAGCUUUCAAUCAUGGCCCUCAAAUUAGCAAUGUUCAUGAGCUCGACGUCGUUACAGGUAAGGGUGAAAUCUUGACAUGCUCGGAAGAAGAAAACUCAAAGCUGUUUCAUGCCGUCCUUGGUGGUUUGGGUCAGUUUGGCAUCAUCACUAGGGCUAGAAUUUCUCUUGAACCAGCUCCCCAUAGGGUGAGGUGGAUCAGAGUACUCUACUCCAGCUUUUCGUCUUUUACCAGAGACCAAGAGUAUCUCAUUUCCCUGUAUGGAAACCCACCUAGUCAAAAAUUCGAUUAUGUUGAGGGUUUUGUUAUUGUAGAUGAAGGUCUCAUUAAUAAUUGGAGAUCCUCUUUCUUUUCCCCUCGAAACCCAGUUAAGAUUAGCUCUAUUGGUUCUAAUGGUGGUGUGCUUUACUGCUUGGAAAUCACCAAGAAUUACUAUCAAUCCACUGUCGAUACCAUUGAUCAGGAAGUAGAGUAUCUGUUAAAGAAGCUGAAUUAUAUUCCAUCAUCAGUGUUCACGACGGAUCUGCCUUACGUGGAUUUCUUGGAUAGAGUCCACAAGGCCGAGUUGAAGCUUAGGUCUAAGGGUUUGUGGGACGUGCCUCACCCUUGGCUCAAUCUCUUUGUCCCCAAAUCAAGAAUUGCUGAUUUUGAUAAGGGAGUCUUCAAGGGCAUUUUGGGCAAUAAAACAAGUGGACCCAUUCUUAUUUACCCCAUGAACAGAAACAAGUGGGACCAGAGGAGCUCAGUGGUGACACCCGAUGAGGACGUGUUUUAUUUGGUGGCGUUGCUAAGAUCAGCUCUAGAUAAUGGAGAGGAGACCCAGACAUUGGAGUACCUGAGCAAUCAGAAUCGUCAGAUCCUCAGAUUUUGUGAUGAUGCAGGGAUCAAGGUGAAGCAAUAUUUGCCUCACUACACCACGCAGCAAGAAUGGAUGGACCACUUUGGGGAUAAGUGGUCCCAGUUUUACCAGAAGAAGAUGGAAUUUGAUCCCCGGCGCAUUUUAGCAACUGGCCAACGUAUAUUCAUGCCCUCCUUUGUUGCCGCUUCAUCAUCAUCUUCUUCUUUUAGUACCGUGGGCCCAUGGUGAUGAGCGAUGACACAUGCGGAUAUUUUUUUUACUUACAGUACACCUUAUAAUAGAAUAUACUGAAUUAGGAAUAUUCUUGUACAUAAUGGCAAAAUGGGAAUUCGAAAUAGUUGAUAGCUUUU
rnacentral:misc_RNA from 1 species